AAUAAGAAUCUAUACAACCUGCUGCUGCUGCUGCUAAGUCGCUUCAGUCGUGUCCGACUCUGUGCGACCCCAUAGACGGCAGCCCACCAGGCUCCCCUGUCCCUGGGAUUCUCCAGGCAAGAACACUGGAGUGGGUUGCCAUUUCCUUCUCCAAUGCAUGAAAGUGAAAAGUCAAAGUGAAGUCACUCAGUUGUGUCUGACACUCAGCGACCCCAUGGACUGCAGCCUUCCAGGCUCCUCCAUCUAUGGGAUUUUCCAGCUUUGAUAUUAUUAGAAACAGACACACUUUAAAAAGAAGUUUGCCUUCUAAGUGAUUCUGUGGGUGAAAGGACCAGACUUCACAUUGCACCAAGAGGUACUGAGAGGGAAAACCUGAUGAAGUGUGAAUACAGCCGUGAAACAUCAAAGUAUUCAAGAAAUGCAUGAGACAGAGCGCAGCCCUGGGGAGCUAGCAUGACGGAUAGGCCAACAACUUGGAAAUUAGGCCAGUAAAACAGCCCUUUGAUGUAGCCACUUUGGGAAAUAUUUUGGAUGUUUCUCAAAAAGUUAAGCAUAAAUCUACCAUAUGACUGAGCAAUUCCACUCAUUGAUAUCUGCCCAAGAGAAAUGAAAACAUGACCACACAAAAAGUUGCACAUGAAUGUUCACAGAAGCAUUAUUCAUAAUAGCUAAAAAAUGGA
ensembl:lncRNA